AGGUUGCACUGACAAAGUGAACUGUUGGUGCAGGGAAGCUGAUGAUAACUGCACCCAGGCUAAGUUUUCCCAGCACUGCCAGGCUGUGAUGGCAGCGGUACUGACCACACAGGCUGUUAACACCUCUUAGCCUGUGACUCCAACAGUGGAAGAGUGCUGGACACAGCAGAUGUCUUGAGAAGAUCUGGUGUAGGAAUGAGAAUCCUGUUCUGCUCCAUUUCCAUGGAAAUCUCCCUGAAGAUGAAGCUAAUUUGGAAGAAAAUGUUCUCUUCACAUCUAAGGCUGCCUUAGAGAAACUCAGAAGGAACAGUGUGUCCUGUCCCACUGCAGACAAGUUUCUGAGACAAUUUAGGGUCCAGUCCUCCACCUUUGGAGUGGAAACAGAAACACUGGAACACAGAAGACCCAGCCCUGCAAGACUGCCUGUGGUGAUCCUGAACAGGUAGGUAGUUAUCACCAAGCCCAUCUACUUGCAGUGUUCUUUCCAGUUAGGUAUUGUAAGUUCCCUACCAGGGGCUGGUUAUGAACAUGUAAAGCAACAGAAAAGAGUAAAGUUGCACCAAAACAUACCCUCUCUGCCCAAGCAGCUAAACCAUAC
rnacentral:lncRNA from 14 species